rnacentral:rRNA from 1 species
UACGUAGGGGGCUAGCGUUGUCCGGAUUUAUUGGGCGUAAAGAGCGUGUAGGCGGCCAGGUAGGUCCGGUGUGAAAACUCGAGGCUUAACCUCGAGAUGUCAUCGGAAACCAUCUGGCUAGAGUCCGGAAGAGGAAAGUGGAAUUCCUGGUGUAGCGGUGAAAUGCGCAGAUAUCAGGAAGAACACCAAUGGCGAAAGCAGCUUUCUGGGACGGUACUGACGCUGAGACGCGAAAGCGUGGGGAGCGAACCGG